rnacentral:lncRNA from 1 species
UUUUUUUUUUUUUUUUUUUGCAAUUUGACAAAAUAAUGAUGUACUAUGUACUACCCUUUAUAAAGGCAAUGAGGCCAUAGACUAUUGAUAAAAACAACUGAGGUUGAGUUCUAAGAAUUAGAGAUUCAUUUUAUUUUAUUUUUAUUUUUUGGUAAGCUAAGUCUUGGAGGUUAGGAAAUCUAACCAUGCAUUAGUGUUCAUCCUACUAUUUGUAGGUUAACUUGUAACAUCAUAAAUGACCCUACCAUUGUGGGUUUCUGCCACCCUCUUUUGUCUGUACUUUGUACGACCUUUCAUGUUCUCAUACAUCAAAAGUAUAGUACAACAAUCUAAAAGACAAAGCAAGGUAUCCAUGUCUUACAUGCAAUUAUGCUAUUCCUUUGGUCCAUUCAUGACAACAUGCUAUUCCUUUGGUCCAUUCAUGACAACACAUUGACAGAAACUCAUCUUUGGUCCUUAAGGUGGACGCGGGGCUGGAGCGGUUAUCAGAACAAUCGCUCCGGAAGGUGUAACAUCAUUUGUACAUGGUGUAACAACUGCUCCGAAAGGUAUAAUAUCAUUUGUACAUGGUGUAACAUCAUCUGUACAAGGUAUAAUAAUAGAACAACAGCGAGUAACAUUAAAACAACAUUUUUGUGGGUCCCACACGGCGUGAAAAUCGAGUUACAAGACGUGAUCUGAACCGCACAAAUUUUUGAGACCUCAUCCAAGCCGUGAACUGCCUGGGACGGUUGUCAGGCCCCUCGUCCCCUCGUCCCCUUAAGGUGUCCUAAAGAUGACAAAAUUCAGUUGAUCAGUUUGUCAUCCCCACAUUUCUGCAGCUCCAAAAUGAGAGGCUCAAAUAGUUCCAGGAUAAUAACAUGGCCCAUGCAGCACUAACCAAUUUCUUGACUCCAAAAUCAAUUAAAUUGCUACCCUAUGAAGAAAAAGCAGCAACAGCAAGAGCAGCGUGUUCAUGAUGGUGAAAACGAACAUGAUCUGGAGAUCAUCAAGGCAGUAGCACAAGCAUGGUAUGCCAAUUCCAGCAGCUCUAAGUCAUCACCAAAUGAAUUUGAUGCCCACCGGCGAAAUUUCAAGGGCAAGCCUAGCAGAUUCAAGCUUGAAGCUGCAAGAAAAGCAUCAUCAGGUGACGGAUAUGGCAGCAGUAGUAGUACAAGUAGUAAUUGGGAUUUUGGCCAAUCCCUUUGGGAUUCUUAUGAGAUUGUUACAAUUGCAAGAAGGUUGGAAAGAGGUUUAGUUUUGGAUCAUACAUUCUCUGAAAAGGAUGAUGCAGGGCAUGUUUUCAAGAAGAGGAAAGAGAGUAAGAAUAGCCUCAGGAAUUUACUUAAUAGGAUAUCCUCUAGGAGAUUUAAUGAACCACUUGCACCCCAAGAAGAAGGAAAUCUGUCUCUUGAUAAGCCUGGAUGAUGGCUCAAAUUUUUAGGUCAUUUUUAGCCUUCUUCUUUCAUAUCUUGCUUUCAAUUGAAUUGAAUUGGGUGACAAAUUAUUUAGUUGCAAUAUAUUUUUAGUGUUUAUUUUUUUUCUUAAAAAAAGUGUGGCAAAAAGGAAGGCAAGUUGGACAUGUGUGUCAUUUAAUCUGAAGCUCAGGAACCAUGAAUAGAUGCAUUUUAAUUUAGUAACAAUUAGUUUGCAAUUACAGUCAAUGAUGCAAUUGAAGCUUCUGGGAUUAUGCAUAUCAAUGAAAAAUACAGUUCAAAAUCUCAACUGCUAAAGUUUCGCCGUUUAUUGGUUGUUGAUCUUGUACCUUUUCUUUUUCUUUAUCUUUUUCUUUUUUGGGUCAAAAUGUUGAUCUUGUACUGCAUGUCUAGUAUCAGUACAUUUUGCUUCUGGCUUUUAUUUUUACUUUUUGUCUCCUAAAACCUGAUAGUUCUUUUGCUUUUUGUCUGCUGAAACCUUAGUGUUCUUUUAGUGCUUCUUCAAGUGGGAUAGGGACAGUACAUUUCAGCUUAUUAACAUGGGUAGAAGUAGUAAGUUAAUAAGUAAUAGAUAAAUAAAAAGAGACAGGAAGCUAAAAAACAGGAGUAGCAUGGAAUUUUGCAAAUAAAUUCUGUCAAAUGACAUAAUCCUAGAUGAUUAACCUAGAAAAGCAGGCCUAACAGGUUUGUAAUGGACAAAUUUAUGACCACUCCAGUGGGAGAGUAGUCAGUGAGGCUCGUUCACAUUUGCAUUGUUAUAUUUUAGAGUUCUUGUAGAAAAACGAACUGUAACGAUUUGAUGUAUGUAAGAUUAAAAAAAAAAAAGGAAAAAAGGAAAAGAAGAAGGUAUGGUAUUGACAAAUCACAAAAGGCAAUUGGAAUAAAGAUUUCAGUCAAUUGCAAGAAGCUGCAAACUGGUUAGUUAUACUUGAUAAUGGUAAUGUAUCCUGCAGUUGAGGGUGGUAGAUCAUUAGUGGGCUAAGUUGUAAUAAUACAAAAGAAGCCUCAGUUGGGUUUUAUUAUUUUAAGGGAGCUUAAACCUAAAAUUCUUUGUUUUCUCUUCUAGAGAGGCUUAGAUUAAAUGAUUUAAUAGGUGUUUCUUUAUCAUCUCAGAAAAAUAAAAAGAAACUGAUAGUAGAUGACUUUAUUUGAUUUUUUGGGUCUAAAACACUGAUACUCCCCUUAAAGUGUUAAUUUCAUUGUGGUCCUUCAAAAUGCUCCGAAAUCUAUAUUGAUCCUCCAAUUCAGAAUAUACUUUCAAUUUUGUCCUCAAAGUUUUUUUUUUUUUUUUUUGUUUGGGUACGGAACAAAAGGAAUUCUAAUGAAAAUAUUUAGAAUGCAAGAUAUCUGAAUGAUAUUUUCUUAAAUCUCAAAAAAACUUAAUGGGAUCUAAGAUAAGAAUAACAUAUAGAAAAUUACCACCCAAAAAAAUUAGCUGAAUGGGCUUCAGCAUCUUAGAAUAAAAUUAAUGUUUAAUUAUGAAUAAAAUCCCUAACACACUUGUUAUUCCUUAACACAUGACUAAUAUUGAUACAUGACUUUAGGAUACUAGAUCAUAUCGUAACGCUCUUCCUGUGUUAAUCCGGGUUUGAAAGGCCUUUCGAACAUCCCUGAAACAUACAGGGCAAGUUCCAUAAAUGUCUUUAAUUUUCUCCCUAGUUGCUACUUAAUUAAAAUUCUAUGUUGGAAACACUAUGAUUGAGGGUCAAGGUGUGUGACUAUAACUUUUAAGAUUAACUUCUUAUGAUUGAUAGUGUACUGAUUUUUUUUUUUUUUACACUAGAUAUAUUCCACAUAUCCAUGAUAUGAAUUUUAAAUUUGAAUUUAUAUUAUGUAGCAACGAUCUAAAUCUGCUAGUAUAUAAAAAAAAAAUACCAUUGACAAUAUAUAAAAAACUUACUCUAAAUUUUACUCAAGCCCCCAUUAGUUCCCCUUGAUCCAGUUGGAGCCUUCCUUAGAUAGGUUAGAGUAGGAGUAGGAGUAGGAGUAAUGUAAAAAUUGCCGAUUGAUCGAAAAAACAUUUUUUUUAACUCAAGUAUAAAAUCAUCUUUUUACACCUGUAUAGAAAAGAUUAAUCAUUGAUUUAAAAAAAAAAUCCAAGACUGCAGGAGUCAAUAGAGGGAUGAACUUGCAAUUCAUGGCUUUUUACAUAUAUGCCUUCACUUCCUGGACGGGUGGCAACUUCGAUGUGGCUCUUUGCAAAAUAGCUUGUUUUAUUUCUUUCUUAAUUCUUGCUCAAUUUGGCAUUUUCUCUUUUCCUGUCUUUAGUAUGACAAGCUCAUUUUGAUGAACAUAGUAUACAUUUUCUGCAUUUCCAGUCUCUUCUUCCUUCAGCCUUGACCUAUCACAGCGUUUGCUAGGUGGACAUCCAUCUGAGAACUGCCAUCAUCAAUUAGCUGCUGAAACCUUUUGCACAAACAAUGCAGCAUCUUUCUUGGCUGCAAUUAUUUGAUAAUGGGCUUAAGGUCAAUCGGCAACAGUAAUCAGGUUCUCCAAGAAGUGGCUGCACAGGGAAGACGAAAACUAUCCCAGGUCAAUGAUUCGGACAUCAAUCUCAAAAGAUGAAACUGAUAACCUGAGAUUCACCAUAAACAGCACACUGACAAUGUAAAGGCAGCUCCAGGACAAUCUUCCUACAAGAAGAUGUAGAGUUGCUUUCAACUUUUUAACUAGUAAUCUUCUAGAAAUUUUAAACAAAUUGAUGUAAGGAGCACAUAUCCAAGGCAUGCAUGAGUGAAAUGAAAUGAAAAACAUCCUCACUUACAUAUAAUAUGCACAUGCUGGCCUCCAGAAUUUACCAUCAGAAAGAAUCAGAAACAAGUGCUUUUUCUGUACUUGGAUGAAUCAGCUUCUCCACAGAAAUGUGCUUGCUAUUUUGGUAUUUCUGGUAAGGAGUGAAUGUGUCAAAAAGGAGACAAUGAAUAAGCAACUUAAGUAAGAAACCUACUUAAAUUGAUUAAACUUAUAAUCACUAUGGAGCAAUUAAAUGGUAAUGCAAGGCUCUCAACUUUAAAAUAAGCCGAUGACAAAUUCAAUUUUCAUUUAAGUUUCUGUACAUUUUUAACUAGUCAUGAUACAUCCUCAAAUAAAGAUUUUGAAAGAGAUAUCAUCUCAGAAAAGAGCAAAUGAAAUGAUUCAACAGCUAAAAUUCAAUGAACAUGCUUAUAUUUCAGCAGGAAAAUACCACAAUGUCCUUCAUGAUUUAUACCGAUGAUCUCAAUUAUGAACUACUGAUCAGGACUUUGAUCUCAUAAGUUGCUUCCCCAAUUUCUUUUGCAGACGCUUCUGCAGAUUGGCCACACCAAUGCACCUCGAUGGUCUCGAGGGUUGGUAUGGCCCCAAAAUCAUAAGGAAUUUCCUCAAGAUUUUUGCAAUUUUGUAGCACUAAUCAUUCAAAUUUGGGAAGGUGAUCACUACAGGCGUUCCACUGGGCAAUGUUCACGGUCUCUAACUUCAAGAAUUUAAGUUCCUGGAACUCUUCUUCUCUCAUGUCCCAUCUUCGCCCAACAAAGGCAGCACUUGAAGUUUUGGUAGCCUUCCUGUCACAGAAAUAUGAUUCCAUGGUAGGUUCAUAUUCUUUAGAUUCAGUGGCAGAAUCAGGUAGCUGGCACUAAGAAACCAACCAAAGUAAAAUAUCUAGUGUCUCCAAUGAAACAGAGAAUUCAAUCUCUGAAAUUGGUUCAUAUUCUUGGAAGAAUCCCAUGAUUCCAAGAAUAUGCAUCUCAACAUGGCCAAGUUAGGUAACCUUUUAAGUAUCUUCUCCGUAUCUUCCCCAUAAGAAAGUGCUGGCAAGGAAAAGCUGACCAAAUUCUAUAGAUCAAAAGAACUUCCAACCUCUUCAUCUUGCAAGUUGAAAGCAACAUGUUUCUUAACAUGAAGAUGCCUUAAACUUGGCAGGUGACAAAUAAUAUCUGGUAAGAUGACCUUCCAUGGAAACCAGUCGCACAAAAUGUUUCUAGUUUCUUGAGGUUGGCUAUUGAUCGUGGAACAUUCCGUAUGAACCCACUGACUGCUAAAUAUCUCAAUCGAACCAGCAGUACUAGUUCAGCUGGAAAAGAAACACCCAGGUUGAUACAUUCGGAAUCCAAAACCCGAAGAAAUUUAAAAAGUUUCUACAAAUGAAUGAGAUGUCAUAAGGACAUCUAGGCUCUGAAUCAGUAGAGGUAAAGAAUAUCAAAGUACAGGUGCCAGGUCCAGAUGGUCUUGAACCCAAAAAUUGUUUCCGCUUCAAAAAACUGCUCAAUGGAUAAGCUUCAUAUGAUACAGGAUCUAAAUGGAGGUCAAAAUCAACCUCUAAACCAUAAUCUGAACCAGGAAAAGAAGCAUAGGUUUCAUCACACCUGGUUACGAGCUGUAAGAAAUUCUCUUCUUUUGCUUUUGACCUGCAAAAAUCACAUAUCAGAUAAUGAAGACAACAUGCUUUGACCUUUCCAUUUGAACAUUUUUUGGAUAUUGCAACCAAGCUUCUGUUUAUCAAGUCCAUCAAGUAGUCCUCCGCGACAUCUUCUCUGUUCUUUGACUGGGAUUUCUUUAUGAACCCUUCGGCUAGCCAAAAUUGCAUCAACUUACUGACAAGAAUCACUUUGUCUUCAAGAAAAACUGCAAAAUAAAGGAAGCACGCUUUUAGAUGUCCCGGUAGGUGCUUGUAGCUCAAGUCUAAUAUUUCCAUGGUGUGAGCUUUUGUAUCUUGCAUUAUUUCUGAACUCAAGCUUUCUGCAAUUUUUUCCCACUAAUCUCGUCUCUUCUCCAUCCUUUCCGGGAGACCAGCUAUUGCAACAAUUGAAAGAGGUAAUCCUUUGCACUGUUUAGCAAUUUUCUUUCCAGCAUCCAGAAAUUCUUCUGGACAACUUCCACCACGGAAUAUUUUCUUUUCUGGUAACUCCCAACUUUCAUCAUCAGAGAGUAAUGGGACAGGAUGACUAUCACCGGGUUUAAUAUCUAAGGCAAAAUCACUAAGACGACUGGUUAUCAAAAUUCUACUUCCAUUCCUGUCAUCUGGCAAUGAAUUUUCCAUAUACUUCCAUGCUCCAAUAUCCCUUACAUCAUCCAAAACUAUGAGGUACCUUUUUCUCAGCAAGGACUGACACAAUUUUGCUUUCAGAUCUGCAGCGUUCAUUUGAUGAAUUUCACCAGUAUGCCCUUGAAUGUCACGCUCAAUCUGAAGCAACAAUUCUCUUUUCUCAUAUGUUUGUGAAACAGUACACCAUGCUCGACGAAGAAAGCAAUACGUAACAUGUUUGCAGUUGUACACUUUUCUAGCCAACGUUGUCUUGCCAAUAACAGGAAUACCAACAAUAGAAACAAUAUUUCAACUUGACGAACUUGCAAUAAGUCGAUCAAUUAUAGCUUCUUCUUCCUCCCUUCGAUCCACCAUCAAUUCAUUCAUUACUGGUAUAACAUCCUUUGAUAUCAUGUUGCUUGAAACCUGCGUGACAUUGUUGAUAUUUUGGACUUGAGCAUCAGGGGUUGUCACAUGCAUAAUGGAGGCCUCCUCACUGAGCAGUUUUAAUUCAUCUAGUAAAUCAUAAAACCAUAUGAGAUGUAGCCUAUGAGCAUCAGACUCCAGCGAGUCGAUAACAUCUUCAAUUCUGUAUGCUACAUCCAUUACUUGAUUCCCAAAAACUUUUAGUUCUCGAUGCUUAUCAAUGUCCAACUCUGAGACGUUAACAAGUAAAGGAGUCAAUGAAUUAAGAUGUAGUUGAAUUUCUUCAAAAUGACACCUCACUGGUGCAUUUGACUCGGGAGAAUUUGUCAAGAACCAUAAUACUUGUAUUAGUGCUCUUCAGUAACUCAAACAAAAAUAACUCUGCCUUGAAAAUCACAAUCUUGAAAAGCAAACAGAGAAGUGAGUUCUUUCACCAUAGAUUUUUUUUCCUUUGCUGACAUGCUGAGGUAGAGAUGCAACAUCCUUAGCCACUUCUUUUGUGAAUGCCAACAUCUGAUUUCCAUUCUCUAUGUUCUCAUGGGGUACAUCUGUUGUAAAUCUUCUCUGACUUUCCAAAACCUCAUUGAUUUCUCCAAUUUUCAGAGGACAAGCUCUUUCUUUCAGUUGCUCCUUAACGAAGCACUGUCUUGAGAAGGCAAGCGUUUUUAAGCAGCUCAGAACACAAAGGACAAAUUGCUUCAGCUUUGUCCCGUCCCAUCUCAUGGCGAGAAGCAGCCUCUGCAAGCAAUGCCAUAAUUUCUGCACAGAUACUUCGCACAUCCUCAUGGGAGUUUUUGUCCUCUGGUUUAUUGUAGAUAACAAAGGUCACCAAAGACUUGAACUCAUUUUCAAGAUCAGAGUCCCCUCUCCCAUUGAGAAGAUAUUGGCAUAACAGUUUGUGAUGUGCUGAAUUUAUUUAGAGCUUUUAGGAAAUUGUGACUGGAAUCUAGGAACUCUAGAUUAGUAGGAUCAAUCUCAUGCAGCAAAGAUGCAAGUCCAAAAUUGAGCAUAUGGUUUGCCACUUGGAUUUGAUCUGUUUUCUGGCCAAUCCAGUAAUUACCGUACUGAAUUGCGGCGCGCACAAGGACAGAUGCAACAUGAGCUAGAAAAGCCUGAAUUACAUUCUCACUGCCACUAAUGCAGCAGAAGUUGGAGAUGGAAGUAGCAUUUACAUCAUAAAAUUAAAGGUACCUUUCCAUCAAGUUCAGCUCCCCAUGGAAAGCACAGACUUGUUUUCUAAGAUCAGGAUCAUUGACGCCAUAACUGGUGUUCUCCAGAAAAACCAGACCCUCAAUUACGGAGCCCAAAAUCUCUGACAACUGAGAAUAGUCGUAAAUGAAGUCAGGAUCCAGAUGAUAUGAGCCGGUACCUGACCGCGAAAUAUAAUCAAGAACUUGUCCAACUUCGGCCAUGAAAUGAUCAGUCCUUCGUUUGCAAUUCUCUCAAGUAAGUUGAGCAGCUCUGAAGGAUUUGAACAGCAUUUGUUGAGAACUCUUUCAAGAAGCUCUUUGGCUACGGCUUCAAUGGUGACAACCAGAUAUACCCAUUCACUACGUCCCGAGUUCUGCAAAAGCUUCCCUGCAUCACUCCACCUGUGGAUAGAAACUGUAAACAUCCUCAGAAACAUCCAAUCUUUGUCAAGUUGAUGGCUAUAUCGAUACAGAUAACUGGACAAGUUAAGGGAUUCAUCACUGGAGUCAAUUGAUGGCAUUCCAGAAUCCUCAGCAAAAUUAAAUCUUAUCCUAAAAUCAUCUUGCACCUUCACGAAGGCGAGAUGAAUGACUGCAUAACUGGAAGAAACCAUCUCCAGAACGCAAAUUAUUCUGUGCUAAUGUUUGAGAUAGUACUUUCAACUAUCCUAGUAUAAUUUAUUUUCAUAAAAAAAAAUAAGAGAGCAAAUCCACUCCCGACAAAAUGAUUAUAGUUCUCAACGACAACGAAAAUGAGCACGCGUUUUCAUGAAGAAAUAUACUGCUGACUGACUUGAAACCACACCGAUAAUAAAAGAGCGAGUGGAUCAAUGUUGGACGGCCAACUAUCCCCACUUCACGUCUAAUCAGUUUUUUUUUUUUUUUUUUUUUUAAUUUCCUCUCCUCAGCAUGGAAACGUGGUUGAGUGAAUCACGCACUCUACAUUGCUGCUACUAGAAAACGUGCUUAUUUGCCCACGUCUUCUUCAUUCUUCAUCACCCUUUUCCUAGCUAAAGCAAACAACUCCCUAAUCCAAUACUUUUUUUUUUUUUAUAUAAAACAUCAUAAUUUCAUUAAAAUUUGCAUUAAUGGCAGAAAUUACAUCAUCAAAUAUAUAAAGAUAUCAAAGAACGGAUCUGAAGAACAUAAAAUUAGAUUAUAAAGCUCUAAAUUUAAAAAAUGAGAUAAUGUAAAUCAGGAUUGGAUGUUCCCUAAUCCAAUACUUAAAUAAUGCAAAUCAGGAUCAGCAUCAAAACAAGUCGACCGGUUCCAACUCCAAGGGCCUUUUUUUUUAUCCUUUUUUUUUUUUUAAUAAAAGACAACAAAAAUUCCCCAUCAAAUGAAAUCGGUCUAAUUUUAAAUCUUUUCUCCCUUGCAAAUAAUUGAAGAGAGAGAGAGAGGAUUGUUGCUGGGAGGUGAAUUGAAUUGUGGUGCUUGUGCUUGCAAAUAUUUUUUUUUCAAAUAAUCUCUAAUGCAAACAUAGUCGGCUCUUUAAAAAUUUCAAAAUCAACCAAUUUUUUAGCAAAAUUAUUCUUUUGUAUUUCACUUUUAUGAAAAGUAUAUUGCAACUCUAAAUUAUGUAAAAAGUUCCAAAAUUGUGUAAUGAUUUUAUUUUUCUUAUCAAACUAACUUUCUUUAAAACUGAACUAAUUGCAUAAUAGUUUAAAAGGUUAAUUAUACUUUGUCCCUCUGGACUUGGUCCCUAGUAACACUUUGCCCUUUCACUUUACUCCUUUUGAUCAACUUUUUAACAGAAUUAAAAUGAAGUUAUAUUUUGUAUGACCAAAAUAUCUAAGGUUAGGUCUUGAACACGUACAACAAUUGUAACAUAAUAAAUACAAAUAAUAAAUCUUGAAUCUUGUUUCCACUUUCCCCAACUCGCUUAUCUUCUACUAAAAGCCUCUAGGUUCCGAAACAUCGUGUUCAUUUCUUCUAUUGCAGGUUUGGCGCGUAUACAAAAUGCAUCUGUCUAUGCAGCAACAGAAGGUGCAAUGAAUGAAUUCACCAAGAAUUUUGCUUGUGAAUGGGCUAAAAGAUAACAUUCGGGCAAAUUGCAUUGCACCUGGGUCUAUCAAAACCCCCCGUUAGCAAAACCUAUGCUUAGUACUGAUGAAAAGCUGAAAAAAAUUGAAUCCAGAACUCCAAUGAAGCGAUUGGGAGAACCAGAAGAAGUUUCAUCCCUGGUUGCUUUCCUUCGUCUCCCAGUUGCUUCCUACAUUUGUCGAUGAAGAAAUUACUGUUAAUGGAAUCCGGUGGGACUAAUCAUUAUAAACCCUUGGAUCUUGUUAUCGAUGCAAUAUUUCAGCAUGAUACUGGUUUGUAUUGUUUCUUGAUGCUUGCAUUGCUUUUGUUUUAUCCACAAGAUUGUUGUGCAAUAGGAAUAUAUGAAUUUGGUUUCCAUGGAUAGUGAGAAUGUAUCUCCAGCUAAUUGGACUGUUGAUUAGGCUAGCUCGAGCUUAGCUCUUAACAAAGCGUCCUAAUUUAUGUAAAGUAGGUUUAGGCUGAACUUCGCCCUUCCCAAUAUUAAACUCAAGUGAAAAAUUAGUUAAGUUUGGAUUGAGAUAGGUUCAGCUCAAUUAAAAUACGAUCCAUUUUAAGUACGACUUGAUAAAUAUAACUACGUAUGGAUUAGGUAUUUUUGGGUGUGUUUUUCAAAAAGUUUAUUAUAACGAUGUAUGUGAAAAACUUUUAUUUUAAAUGAUUUAUUUGGAUUCAGUGUUUUUAAAAACAUAUUUUGGGGUACUUUUAGAAUUUAAAAUUUUUUGAGCAUUUUAUGUAAAUUUGUUAAAAAUAACCCAUCAUCCUCCCCUCCUCCCUCCUUUGUGCUGCAACCACUCCCUCGCCCCUUCUCCUCUUUCCCCCUCCUCUCCCUCCCCCUCCAUCUUCAUCUCUCUUUCCCUUCCCUCCCCUCCCUUCCAUCCUCCCUCCGCCCUCUUCCCCUUUCCUCUUUUCUGCUCCCUUCCCCUGCCCCCCACCGUGAAGCUAGGGAAGGCGGUUGGCGGAGGGUGGAGGAAAGGAGUGGAGGGGAAUGGUGAGGGAAGGGACGGGUGAAUGGGGAGGGAGGAAGGAAGGGAGGGUAGUAAGAGGUAGAGGGAGAAGGAUGGUAGGAAAAGGAAGAAAAGGGAGAGAGGAGGGGAGAGGUGGCGGCGAAGAAGGAAGGAGAAAAGAGGUGGUGGAUGGUGGUGCAUAGUGGGUGAAAAAAGAAAAAGUGGUAGAAUUUGUUACUUGUUAUUUUUCUUAUUUUUAUAAGUUAUAUUUGAUAUUGUGUGUUUUUUGAAUUAUUUUUAGAGUUUGUUAUUAUACACCCCACAAAAAAAACAAAACAAUUGUAAGAAAAACACUCAAUUCAAGCAAAGCCAAUGCAUUUUAGCAUGAGAUCUUGGAUCCAUUUUCAAGUUAAACCCGUCCACUUUAUCCAAUCUUCCUUUGAAAAACAUGUCAUGUAUUUGAUGUUAUUCUCAUGUUAAGUUGAAAUAAUCUUCUAUUGUUGAUGAAAGUAUGCACAAAUCUUGAGCUCAAAUCAAUUUGAAUCACCUUGGUGAGCUUUAACUUAGUAUCACCAACAUUUAUUGUGCUGUGCAUUUGGAAUGGUGAGGUUAUUUUUCCUGGUAAAUCAAAAUUGGGUUGAGUUCGAGUCGAUCCACAAAGUUAAAAGUCUAAUCAUGGAAUCUUAUUGUCACCUUACUAAUAUUCCAACUAGUUGUGUUUUAAGAAUGAUAACCUAAAAUUUGAAUAACCCAAAAAAGACAAAUAGCCACGUGAACUCGUUAGUGAUAUGGUGAGUAAACAAAAAAUCAUCUCAUAUCUAAUAAAAACUUGACAUACCCUACAUUUCCAUUGAUCUUUAACUUGAUCUCAUAGCACAAUUUCACAAUUAUACGAAACAACACAUAUAGUCAACUGCUGGAGUAAGACUAACAUGAACAAAAGCCCCACACUUAUUUUGAGUUGAGAAUUAAUGUUAGAAUCUUACAAAGAAUCAGACAGAUGCAUGCGAUGUCGGAUGCGUAGACAACCAAGAAACUGCAAGUUAAUCUUCAUGGGUUAAUUACAUUUACCUCCCCUGAGGUUUGAUCAUAUUACCAAUUAAUUCUUGUAAUUUGUCCAAAUAACGGUCUCACCCUUUGAAUGAUCAAACAUUUAACAAAAACCCCUUUAAUGCCGAAAAUGCCCUUUUUGAAGCCAUGUUGCAUUAAAAAAAGAACAUAUUUUUAUUUUUUUAACCCUGAAGCAAUCCAAAAAAAUAGAAAAAAGUUUUUGCUUAUUAUUUUAUAAAAACCAUAUUUUUGUUUCCAUAAAUAGUUUUGAAUCAAUAAUUAUUUUAAAUCUUAAAAAUUAGAUAAAUUGAAAGAAAAAUAAAAAAAGAAGAAAUUAUUUUAAUUCCUGAAGUAUGGUUCAAAUUGAGGAAAACAUGCCUUGUGCUCUCCGCAACAUGCCUUGAACCACAAAUUCGAACCAUACUUGAGGAUUUAAAAUAAUUGAUUCUUUUUUAUUUUUCUUUCAAUUUAUCUAAUUUUGAAUAUUCAUUUUUAAGAUUUAAAAUAAUUAUUGAUUCAAAACUAUUUAUGGAAGCAAAGAUAUGAUUUUUAUAAAAUAAUAAGUAAAGACUUUUUUCUAUUUUUUGGAUUACUUGAAGGUUAAUAAAUAAAAAUAUAUUCUUUUUUAAUGCAAUAUGGCCUCAAAAAGGGCAUUUUCGGCAUUAAGAGGGUUUUUGUUAAAUGUUUGAUCAUUCAAAGGGUGAGACCGUUAUUUGGACAAAUUACAGGGAUUGAUUGGUAAUAUGGUCAAACCUCAGGGGAGGUAAAUGUAAUUAACCCAAAUCUUCAUUCCUCUCUCACACUUGUAUCCAUAUAUAUACAUACAUACAUACAUACAUACAUACUAGUAAUAGUUCGCGUGCAAAGCACGUGAUUGUAAUAUUUUAAAAUAUAUUAUUCUUUAGAUACUAAAUUUUUUUUUAUGAAAUUUUGAUAAUCAACAUCAUAAUAUAGCAUUUUUAUGUUAUUUAUUUUUUUAAACUAGUUACUUUUAAAAACUUUAUUAAAUGAAAAGAGAUAAAAAAAAAAUCCCAAUGUAGUUGACUCCCUUAGGAUUGAAUUUGGAAUUAUGAACCGAACACUUUUUGAUUUAUAAUUUGAACUCUAACAUAUCAAAUAUUGAUAAUAUCAUGUUUUACCAAAAUUAUUGUAUAUUCAUGAUUCUAUUGCACAAAAACUACAAUCAUUACAAUUUUUUUAUAAAUGAAGAAUAUAAUGAAGUCAGAAAAAUAAACAUAUACGUAAUUUGAAUUCUUUGUAUUAUAUUAAUUCUAUUUUUAUCAAUAAUGGAGUAUAAAUGAUCCACCACAUAAAGUUUUUUUGGCUUAUACAUUCUGACAAUUAAAAUUUGAUAGAUAGAGAUAGUUGAAGUUUUUCUAUUUUUCUUUUCUUUUAUGCAUAUUUUUAGCACAAUCCAAUGCGGACCAAAAGCAACAAGUCUACUUUUUUCAUAUGAGUACAAUAUUUUUUGUUUUAUAAUCAUUUUUCUGAUAAUCAUGCAAUUGGAAUGAGAAUUAUGGGUAAUUAACAAUUUUAAUAUUAAUUUUUUGUAUAUUGCAAUGUUAUAUUUUUUAAUUGCUGACUUUUAAUCCAUAUCCGCUAUCAUUAUUAUCAAUUAUUGGAAUGCACUAAAUCUGUCUAAUUACAAUUGUCACCAUAAAUAAAAUUUACUUAAUUUUAAAGUUUUGCAUUUCAUAACCUCUUCCAUUAUUCACUAAUAUUUCAAUGCAAUAAAUAUAUGUGAUCAUUAGAAAAAUAAGGGUAUUUUGAGCAUAACCAAUAACAAUUUGGAUAUCAUUUUCAUUUUAUCAAUCCUCAUUUUAAGUUUACUCUUAUUAUAAUUCUUACUUUAUCAUUAGAGAUGGCUUUUGAUUUGGUGGAUGGAUUUGGUUUGCUCAAACCAAUACAAAUGAAGCAUUACUAUAUUAUUGUCAAUAACAAUGUUUGUCUUUCCCUGGAUAUCAAUGAUUUGGAAGUUAUCUUUAGUAUUAUUUGAAUUGUAUUCUAGUUUUUUAAUUCAUUUGCUAUUUAUUUUAUGUCAUUUUAUAAAUAGUUUUCAAUUUUUUUCAGUUCUUCUUGUUUUGAUCGGUUGCUAUUAAUGAUAAUAGUGGUUUGUAUGGUGCUAUGUUAAUUUCUUUUUUCUAGUUUAAUAAUACUAUUUCAGUUAUAAAGGUGUCAUCAUUUUUUGGUGCAAUAUGAAAAAUUCUUCAUCAUUACUAUAGAAAAACUAUGAAUCUUAGUAAAAAGUGCACAAUUGUAAAAUUUGGUUGUGAUGUUUGUAUAAAGAUAUACAGAUGAAUAAGGAUUCUCUUCUCUUUAUACGUUUCUCCAUUUUCUAGAGAAUAUCUAUUUUUUGACAUUGAUUUUUCUUUUACAAUCUCAACUAAUGACUAAUAAGAAAUUUUUCAUACUUCAAUUAAGAAAUUUUGAUAUGUUUAAUAAUUGGAGAUAGAGUCUAAGGGUAGGUAAAUAGUUUUAAUUAUAAUUACCAAUACUAUUAAGAUGUAAUCAAUUGGAGUGUUUUAUUUCUUUUAAUUAGUGCCACAUUAAAAUGAAAUAAUUCUAAUAAAAAGACAUAAAGGUAAUUUGGGGAUAACAAAAACUAAGAUAAAAAAGUGCUUACACUUAUACUUCCUCGUACCAAGAUUCAUACUUUUUAUAUAGUACGGGUAAAAUACCAAAAACUCCCCGUGAUUUGAUAAAUAUUCAAUUUAACUCCCUCUGACUUGAAAACCUACACCAUAACUCCCUAUGAUUUUGAUUAAAUUGAAAAUUGGACAUAAAACAUCAAAUCUAACGGUUGUGUGUGAAAUGUCAAUAUUGUCCUACUAUACGUGAGAUGCUUUCCAUUCAAUUUUCAAUUUAGUCGAAAUCAUAGGGAGUCUUAGUAUAAUUUUUGAAAUCUGAGGGAGUUAAAUUGAACAUUCAACAAAUUAUAAGGAAUUCAUUUAUAUAAGGGCAAUAUUGACAUUUCAUGUAUAACUGUUAGAUUAGAUGCUUUCCGUCCAAUUUCAAUUUAGUUGAAAUUACAGAGAGUUAUAGUAUAGGUUUUCAAACUAGAGGGAGUUAAAUUGAACAUUUAGCAAACCACAAGGAGUUUUUGGGUAUUUUACCCAUAUAUAAUGAUAAUGAUAAUGAUAUAUAUAUAUAUAUAUAUAUAUAUAUAUAUAUAUAUAUAUAUAUAUAUAUAUAUAUAUAUAUAUUAUGAAAUUUCAGAUAUUAAAUUGCCUGCAAUACUGACUAAGAUGAAAGAAAGCUAAAAGAAUAAAGAAGCGUUGCUGCAUUAGACGUAACAGUCAUGAAUCAUGACGGCUACUGCAAUACCACAGACAAAUCAACAAAUCUCUAGAGGAAUAAUGCAGUUAUAGAUGAAGAAAAAGAAAAGAUGAUUCUGUAAUAUUGUCCGGAAACUAGGGCAGCAUGGAAACCAAUUUUGCUUAUUCUCAAGUUUUUUCGAUUGAAUUGGACCUGGACUUAUCUUCGAUGAGUGGAGAGAUCUAAGAGAAUUAUUGAUUGGUCUUAAAGGGAUUUGCAAGCCGAUGGGGGAAUUAUAUGUUGUUUAACACUUCCGUUUGAACACUUCUUUGUCUGAAAAUGAUAUGAAUUUGUACAGUCGAUGUUAUUCAACCAUCUAUCUAGUUGUUGUUUUUUGACUUUAGGCCUACAAUAUUGUACACCACAAAAUCAUAAACCAGAAAAGAAAAUUUCAUUCCAAAUAAUCACGAAAUACUUUUCUGUCUUCAAUCAACCAAUUCAGGAUAUUUCAAUCGAAUCUUAGAACUUUUCUGGUUCCCAAAACACAGGCUCUUUGUUGCUGGUUGUCCACUUAAAAAGUUUAUUCAGGUCAUCGAUCCUUUCCAACCACCUAUCAACUUUGCACCAAAACACCCCCCGCCCCACAAAAAAAAAAAAACCAAAAAAAAGGAAAAAAAAAACCUUUUAGCAUCAUCACUACCACUGUACUACCACCCAUGUCAAAGGUAGGAGAAAAUAAUUCUGCAUGGUCUUUGUCGGGAAAAACAGCUCUAGUUACCGGUGGAAGUCGAGGAAUUGGCCGUGCAAUUGUGGUGGAGCUAGCUCAACUUGGUGCCACAGUCCACACCUUUUCGAGAAAAGAAGCAGAUCUGAAUGAAUGCUCGCAAGAAUGGUCCUCCAAGGGAUUCAAAGUGACUGGUUCAGUCUGCGAUGCAUCUUCAAGAGAGCAAAGAACACAGCUCAUCGAAAAGGUCUCUUCCAUCUUCAAUGGGAAGCUCAACAUCCUUGUAAACAACGUUGGAACAACCAAAAUGAAGCCAGCUGAAGAGUUUACCUCGGAAGAAUAUGACAUGAUCAUGUCUACAAAUCUUGAAUCUUCUUUCCACUUUUCCCAACUCGCUUAUCCUCUCCUAAAAGCCACUGGGAUUGGAAACAUCGUCUUCAUUUCUUCUAUUGCUGGCUUGGUCAGUGUAGAAGGUGCAUCUGUUUAUGCAGCAACAAAAGGUGCAAUGAAUCAACUCACCAGGAAUUUGGCUUGUGAAUGGGCUAAAGAUAACAUUCGCGUAAAUUGCCUUGCACCUGGGGCUAUUAAAACCCCAUUAACGGAAUCUGUGCAGGAUUAUGAUGAAAAAUUGAAGAAAUUGGAUGCAAGAACCCCAAUGAAUCGAGCUGGAGAACCAGAAGAAGUUUCAUCCCUGGUUGCUUUCCUUUGUCUGCCAGCCGCUUCCUACAUAACCGGACAGGUUAUAGCUGUCGAUGGAGGACUGACUGCAAAUGGAAUCCAGUGGAAUUAGUCAUUAAAGGCUCUAUCUUGCUACUGAUGCAAUAGUUCACCAAGAUCUAGUGUUUAAUCUAUACGUAUUUUGUUGUAAAAGGAAGGUAUGUGCUCGGUUUUUAUAGUAAGAAAUUGAGAAUUGACUCGUAUGAAUUCUCAAUUGGUCUACUAUGCACCACUGCUAUAUUGCACAAAGUAUGUAAUUGUGACUAUCUAAUAGUAUCUCUAGCUAAUUUGCCUAUUGAUUUAUGGGUUAAUUCUAGUACUAUGUUGAUUACUCUUCACACUUUUAUCAAAAGGUAGCAUCUAAACGGCGGAGUGCUUGUCAUGAAAAGCAUACACCUGGAAGGGCAAUUGCUGAUCUCCCGGUCUGACUUCCACCUACAGAGAUCAUGGCAGCUGCAUUGUUAUUAGAGGUGGCAAAAUGGGUGAUUUGGACCGGUUUGGGUUAGGUAAAAUGAGUAAUGGGUAUAAGUGAGUCAACUCAUUUAUAUCCAUUUAAUUAGAUUAAAUGAAUAUAAAUGGGUAAGUCAAAAAAUGAGUUGGAUAACCCAAUUAUUCUAAUUUUUUAGAAGCUCAUAUAAAUUCAUUUUGUAAACUAAAUUAUCAAUUUAUACCAUUUUACACCCAUCAUUAAUUUUAACCAUACAGGAGCUCCGUAAUUACAUUUACUCGUGCAAGUGGGCAAACUUGUCUAUUUGAACCUGCUUUCAAACAACUGUGCUAUCUAUGUGGGAUGCCUUCAUUGCAAAUGAAGGUGCAAAGGUCAUGGCAGAUCUUCAAAACCAUCCUGCUAUUAUUGGAAGAAGGUUGUAUGGUCCAGAAUUACAACGGUAGCUGAAACAAUCUUUUGGGACCGUUCCUGCAGGUCAUUAAUUGAUACAUGUAUUUGUUUUGACGGCUAUCAAUGAGAAGCUUUGCCUUCUUCCUGUCAAAGCUUUUUUGCCAAACUGUUAAAUUUCCAAGGUUGGUUUAUUCAUUUAACUAAAUAUUUUGCAGGCCGUAUGGGUAAAAGUAUCGUUCUCUUUUGAGCGCAUAUCUUUGAAAGGUUUUGGUACAUGGCCGGUGAGAAAUGUUUUUUCCGCUCUACAGAGUGCCGAUCAUGGAGUUGCAUUUAUGUUAUUCAGUCCUUUUCCCCAUGCAGCGCCAAUAUCUAUCAUUUGAUCCUGGGCAUAUUUGUAAUUUACCACCGUACGCGAGUACGAGUAUGAGUACGAGUACGGCGAUCUCUCCUAGUUUUAAUAAAUGCUUCCCUAAUUGGCUGGUCGACAUUUUGUAGAUUGAUUAAGGAAUCUAGUCAGAAAAAUUGGGAAUGAAGCAUAAUGUAUUAAUUUAGAUGACAUUAGAAUUUUAUGAUAAAGAAAAUUACUAAAAAAAGGAUUUCUUUUUUUCUUCUUUUAAACUCAUCUGUCACCUAUAAUUUGUAAAGUUUAUGAAAACUAUCAUAAUCUUUUCAUUGCAUCAAGGGAGAUAAGUGUAAUUUUACAAGACCUCAUGGGAGGUGACACAUACAAUUGUUAGAAACCUCCACGGAGGUUUAUGAAAUUAUCAUUAUUUUGAAGAUAUGAUUUGUUUCAUUGUAUUGGAUGACACUGGAUCCGGACCGCAGGGGAUUAGUCGAGCCCCGUAGGAAUUGACCCGGAUACCUCUGUAUUGACAAAAAAUAAAAAUAAAAAAAUGACGAUGACUGUUGUCCACAUUUUAUUUGUUUAGGUAAGUUAUCAUCUCGGAGAAGAUCCAUUUGGACUGUUGAUUGGUCCAGUUAGACUGUUGAUUGGGCUAGCCGGGGCCCAAUUUCCUACGAGUGUUGCGAAUUUUAUAUACGUAAACUUCAAUGGGCUCGUCUUCGGGCCGAAACAUUGAGCUCAAAUAAAAAAUACCAGCUUAAGUUGGGAGUCUAAAAUUGCUGCAGUGUGAAGUAUUUUCAAAUAAAGACAUAAAAUUCAAGAAAAGUAAUAUUCAUCCACCAAAAAUAUGUUGAAAGUCCUUAGUUCAACCAACAUUACUAAUUAAAACACAUAUGAUGUCUACCUUUCUUUUUCCAUGAUUGUUUUUUCCAUUGAAGACUGGAAUUUUGUGUCUUUUACGUUAGAUCAAUUUCACCCGGUCGUAGUGUGAAGCAACUCAUAAACCAUCCUCAAAAUGAUUAUCAAAAAAGAAAUAAAUCAAUUUUCUUAACAGCUUCCUAAGUGAAAAGCUUUAAUUUGGGCACAGGUGAUCCCAAGUCCCAACAAAUUAUUGGAGUCUUGUCUGCCAGGACAAUGGAGGAGUUAGAGCUACUUCUCCCCAACAAUGGGAACAAAUUCCUCUUCUUCUCCUAAAAUGAUAUAGGAAAAUUUAAUUAAAAAAUAAAAAUAAAAUCCAAGUUUGAAACCAUAGACUCCAAUUCUUAAGAGCCUAAGAAUGGAUAGAAUUUUUUAGUGUUAUGACCAUGGACGUAUCAGCCCAAAAGCUAUUCUUAGUAUUAUCAGCCAAAGCUUUUAUCUAUCAAAUUACCAAGCAAACAAGAUGCAGAACAUGCCCUACAGAAAAUAGAAUUAAAUGGUACAGAUAUGGGCAAAACAGAGAAAACAAAGAACUUCAAAUUUUUGCUGGAAAGUAAACAUUUGCCUUGAUAAGGUAUAUGGUUCACUCAGCUAUUCUCCUAUUCAAAUCCAUAGACAGUCAUUCCUCCAUCCACAGCGAUAACUUGACCAGUGAUAUAGGAAGCAGCCGGCAGACAAAGGAAAGCAACCAGGGAGGAGACUUCUUCUGGUUCUCCCGUUCGCCUCAUAGGAGUUCUUGAUUCUACCCUCUCCUCGUAUUCUUUGUCACUCAAUUUCUCUUCAACUAAUGAGGUUCUAAUAUACCAUGGCGCAACAGAAUUAACUCGAAUGUUAUCUUUAGCCCACUCACAAGCCAGAUUUUUGGUGAGUUGAUUCAUUGCACCUUUUGUCAUUGAAUAAACAGAUAAAUGGUGAACAUGUACCAGGCCUGCGACUGAGGACAUGAACACGAUGUUCCCAAUCCCAGAUGCUUUCAGAAGCGGAUAAGCAAGUUGAGAGAAAUGAUAACCAGAAUCAAGAUUUGUAGACAUAAUCAUAUUAUACUCUUCAGCAGUGAACGCUUCAGCUUGCCUGAAUACACCUGUUCCAACAUUGUUGACGAGGAUAUUGAGCUUCCCAUUGAAGAUGGAAGAGACCUCUCCGAUGAGCUGAGUUCUUUGCUCUCUUGAAGAUGCAUCACAGACCGAACCGGUGACUUUGAAUCCCUUGGAGGACCACUCUUGCAACCGUUCAUUCAGUUCUGAUUCUUUUCUUGAAAAAGUGUGCACUUUUGCUCCCAGUCCGGCUAGUUCCUCCACGAUUGCACACCCGAUUCCUCGAGUUCCACCGGUGACCAGAGCCGUCAUUCCAGAUAGAGACCAUCUUGAACUAAUUUUUCCUACGGUACUUUCCAUGAUUGAUGGUGGGAUGAGCCUCAAGAUGUCAAAAGCCUGAUCUUGAUAUAGAGAUUUUUGGCAAAUGACUUGUUAAGAUAAUGCAACAUCCCAUUUUAUCGAGAAAGGUUAGGUUCGGUAAUCAGACGUCAUGAAUUGUAAUAGAAAGUUAUCGACUCAUGGGUUCAAGACUUUCCACUUAAAAAAAAAAGGAAAAAUCAUUCAAAACGUUUAUUUCUUUUUGUAAAUUGACUUUUUUCGUCCCUCACAUUUAAAAGUAUAAUUUUAUAUCCCUUACAAAUUCACAUUAAUCAAAUUUGCUCAUUAUCUAGGUUUCUGACUAGUUUUUAGUUGGAAUCCAUCACGUGUCUUACAUGUGAUAAUUUUUUAAGAGUAAAAUUGUCAAAUCAAAUUUUACAUAAUUCGAUUCAUAGUCCCUCACAUUUCAUAAAAUGAAUUUUUUUCUUCCCUCACAUUUUUCAAAAUGAAUUUUUUCAUCUCUCAUUGAUCAUGUGCAUGAAUAGGUGAUGCAAGUUCUGAUCCGUGGCAAGUUCUGAUCGAUCUUAUUGUUUCUUUGGCAUAUUGUCGUAUUAUUCUCUUUGGCUAUUCUGAUCAACAAAAUUUGUUAAAUUGUCAAAAGUUCUGAUCCGUGUCUCUUUGGAGUAUUAUUCUCGUUCGUCGGCUCCACGGAUCAGAACUUGCAUCACCUAUUGACAAUUGGUCCAAAGAAACAAUAUGCCAAAGGUCCUUUUCACGGAAUAAACGCGAGAAUGGUUGGCUGUUGAAUCACGUUCAUAUCCAAAGUUUGACUUGCUCGUGUUUAUCACUUCAUUUUUAACACAAUAAUCUGAACGUGACAUGUGGAAAAUUAGUGCUGAAUGUCUCACAUUUGCCAGUAAUUAAUAGAGGUCAUUUUUAAGUCGUAAGGUGCCAUAGCUGAAGAAAAGAUUGAUAAAAUUGCCGAGCUGGGUGUGAGUGAAAUUUGUUUGUGAUUUUGAGACUUAACUAGAAUAAUUUACAGUUUAGUAGUAUCUUGCUUUGAGUGUUAUGAUACAAGACUCUUGGAGUUUUCACCAUUGUUUAAUAGUAAUUGGUGUUAUUUAAGUUGUCUAUCACUUCAUUUGUCUUCUUUACCAGUAAUUUAAUACGAUAGUGACUUUAGAUCCAUCACGAUCUUAAAUGGCUAAGGUCCUUUUCUCUUUUCAUAAUGUCUCAAAGGAUUUUGUCAAUUAGUGUCGAGUUCAUUUGGACCCGCAUGUUAAUUUAUGUAACUUGUAAAUUGUGAUCAUGCAUGUAUUUGGAUGAACUCGAGCACGGUUGUCAAUGACAAUCAAUGUAAUACUUUUGAAUCCCUUGUAACUUCUAUUUGAAUUACUUAUAAAAUUUCAUAACGACUCAUAAUUAUAAUACUCCCUCCGUCCCGUUUUCUUAGUCUUGGUUUUUUUUUCACACAGAUUAAGAAAGUGUAAUUAAUUUGGUUGGAAACAUAAAUUUAGAUUAAUAAUUUCCUAAAAUACCCUUAUGCUAAUCAAUGUAGUCUAUGUAUUCAAUGUAUUGGAAAAGCUCAAUGUAUUCAAUGUAGUGGGUUAGUAUUUAAUAACAAUGUAUUAAUAACAAGAUAUUUAAUAAGGGUAUUUUAGACAAUUUGAAAGAUUACUAUAUUUCUUAAUGGGAAAGUGGACUACAAUUUGGGACGGACAAAAAAGGAAAACAAGACUAACAAAGUGGGACGGAGGGAGUACAUGAUAUUCAUAUAAAUAGUAAUAGAAUAUUACACUUUUGGUAUAAAUAUGUACAAGUAGUUAAGAUAUAAUUAUAACUUGUUUAAAAAACAUUACACUGUUCUGAACGAUUGUUAGUGACAAUCAUCCGUGCUCCAUAUCCUAUUUGGAUUAGGUUCCUCUGCCAACUCAACCAUCCAUUUAAAAAUCAAUACUAGGAUCAAGUCAACCCAUUCUAACUAGAUCUCCAAUCAACUACUCCCUCUGUAUUAAUAUGUUUGUAGCUUUCAUGAAUCCAACAUUUUAAAAAAUAGUGUUUUGAUUAUAAUGUUUGUAAUUUUUUUUUUCAAUUUUACCUCCAAAAUUUCAAAAUUUUAAAUUUGUAUAUGAAAUGUGUAUGAAUAGAGGAAUGGGCAACAUUGACAAUAGGCUAAAAAUGAUUCUGACUUAUGUAACACGACAAACAUUUUAAAACAUUUCAAAUGUAAAAUAUGACAAAUAUUUUGGUAAUUUUUUUUUCGGAAACGAUAACAAUUGUGUUAGGAAUUAAUAGAUAUACAGACUUUACUAUAUCAAAGGGGUGUUUUGACAUUAUCCUUAAAUUUUUUUCACUGUAAGCUAGCUGCUGCACUCUUGUUUUCAAGUCUACAAUUUGACGAAGUACUCGUGAGCUGUUUAUAUACCUGAUGUGCCUUUGUCUAAUGAGCACGCGAGCAUGGACAGCUUUAUCUCAUCUUCGUAAAAAAGUUGUUUCUCAUGUGCAAUGCCAAUGCAUCUUCCUGCAAACCCUUUUCGGCAUGGAAAGAAAGAGCUUCGAAGAAACCCAGCAAGGAAAAGGGAAAAUAAAACUUGGGUUCCUUUUAGAAAUCUUGAAUUUUCCUGCUAGAUUUUAGUCUGCAAAAUUUGUGUGUGUGAAUGGGGUAGAAAGAUAGUCUCGUGCGGGAGUGUUUGUGGGCGUCAGUGAUGCAUGUAAAUUGCGCAACGGAUCAUCAAGUUGUCUGUUUGAAUGGUGAAGAUGAUGAAAAGAGGACAGAGGUUGUUUGGGUUUUAGGAUUUUUUCCCUUGAUAAAUUGUGAUUUUAUUAGAGAGUUUUUGUUUUACCUGGUUUUGGUUAAAGAAAUUAAGUUUUCUGUUCGGUUAAUCGAUUAAUCAAUUUAACAUGGUCCGAGUUCGGUUAUUUGAGGGUUUGGUUUAUCAAGAAACACUUGACAAGAUUAUAAGGAGUGAGACAGGAUGUAAUACAAAAGAUCCGUUGCAGAUUUAAACUCCCACCUACAACUAGCCACUAAGCCAAGCUCAGUGGUACUUGACAAAAUAUUUUGGCACUUGACAAAGCGGUUUCUCUACUAAGCGCAGAGAGACUCGGUUCAACCAUUUAACUGCAUCCUUACUCUAUCCAGAAAUGGCAAAUUGAUGAGUUACUCAAGAUUUGGAUGGUUCACACGAAGGGUUCUAAAAAUAGAUAAAAUCAGUCAAAGACAGCUAAUUAACACUUUAUUUUAUUUAAUUGUCAAUCAAUGUUACGUGUAUCAAAGGAAGGUUGUAUAAGACAAUAUUCUAGUCAAAUUGGAGCUAUUAACCUACUUUGACUAGUGAAUACGCAGCAAAAACUGGAAUAGCUCAUGAUCCAACCUAUUCUUAAUCAUCCGACGAAAGGGCAACUAGUCCUUUUCUAAGAUGACACAAGACCAAUCAUAUGCAUUCUUUUGCUAGAAGGUAGGAGCAAGUCCAAUAACUCGGCAAGAAACCAUUUUUCUUUCUUUGGGGCCAAAGACAGUAAGAAACUGUAGUUGAAAGAAGACAUAUACCACCAAGCAUUGGAAGAGAGAGAGAAAGAGAAGCCAAAAAGGACCUGUACGUAACAAAUAUCUAGCCUUCGACCCAUAGACUUAAACUAGGGAUAAUUGCAGAAACCUCCCUUGAGGUUUGUAAUAGUUGGAUUGACGUCCCCUAAGAUUUUAAACAUAGCACUAACAUCCCCUGAACUUAAGUUUUUUGAUAGCAGAUUUAGCCUAUAUCAGAGAAAAUGCCAUUAAAAAAUCUUUUGAGAAAUAAGAUAAUAAUUUUGUUUCAUUUGUAACUUUUUGUCUCUUGUAAGGCUGGAUUAGUAAAAGAAUGAAAAACAUUAAAAAAUGAAAACAAUUAGUGAAACACUUAGGCUGCAGUAGCAAUAACUAGAAGAAACAACGAAUAUACGUUCAGAAAUUUGAGAUUCUAAAACAUAUAAAAUGUACAAACAACUCCAAAAACUCUCAUUUACUAAAGAAACUUUUUGAAUUAAAUUGAGAUGACAAUGGAUUACUUACCUAUUAUCUCUUGAUUGUCGUAAAUUUUUAAUAAAAAAAUCCUUAGAUUUUGCCUUGAUUUCUACUUACUUUCUCCUUUCAUUUCAUGAAUACUUAAGAUAAAGUAAGAUCAACCAAAACCACUAGAACUUAUUCUUUUAUGGAACCCUUUUUGGAGGUUUCUUUCCCCUACAUUUUUCUUGCUUCUGCUUCUCUUCUACGCAAAUAAUAUAUAACUUGGACUGUCCUCUCAAGUGUUGUCAAUUACAAAAUAAUGCCACAUCGGAGCAUCAAUUUGCGUCAUUUUGUAAGUAUACUGACAAUGUUUAAUCAGAUAAGAAAUAACCGUUAAUCUUGUUUAAUUAGUUACCAUGAACUUGUUAAUUGCCCUAAUUUUUUUUUGCCCCAAAUUUGUUUACAAACAACCUUAAACUCUAAGGAUAUGUAAGUAAAUUCAUCCUAUCUUGCGUUAGCUAUAUAUAGACCCCAAAUUCAUGCUAGGGGAGGUAAGUGCUAUUUUCAAAAUCUCAAAAGAGAUGAGUGUAACUGUUAAAAACCUUGGGGAGGUUUCUGCAAUUAUCCCCUUAAACUAUAGGCUGGACCUUUGCCUGCAUGAGAUACUUGCACAUCACUGAUUGUCAUUAGGUUUCAAACUCAACAUAAAGGGCUGCAGCAUUUUUUGGAUUAUUAUCAUUUUACCCCCUUAACAUUCGGUGCUACUAUUAAUUUCUCCCUUAACAUUACCUUUAAAUCACUUUACCCCCAAGACUAACAGUCAAACUUGACGGAGUUUGUUAAUUAAAGUAAAAAUACAUGUUUAGCCCUUAAAAUUAUUAUCACUUUACCCCCCAUAAACUAUAGUUUCAUUAUCAAUUUACCUCUAGAGUUAUUUUUUAGACAAUUUAUCCUACCAUUAAACCAAUUUAGUAAGUUAAAAAAACUUUAGAAGAAAGUACCCUACUCU